GAUGUCACUGUGCAGCAGUGCUAUCUUCAGGGUGAAAGGCUGGGUUGGGCAUAGGCCUGGGCCUCUGCAAUCUGGGGUAUUGCCAGGUACGUAGUGUGAGAGGCCUCAUGGCAGUACAUCUCACCUGUUCCACUGCUCUUUUUUUCCCCAGAAGAUGGAUAGUAUGUGUCUUCCUCCCGUUGAAGAACAAGUGGGUUUUUCUUCACCUCCAAGACAGAUACUUGAGAGAAAAAGAUCACCUUCCCCAUUGUCCCAUGCUGCAGGAAGAGCAGAGGUGAGGAUGGACAGAGUCAUCUGAACACUUCCAGAUAGAAUUCGAUGCUGAGAAGCUAUACCAUGAACUAAACUGCAUUUCCAGAAAAGGCAUGGACAUCUUGAUCCUUUGUUAUUCAUUCUGAGUCAUUAACCCUGUAGGAAUGAGCAUCUGCACUUGGCCUUUAGGGAACUGAGCUGGAGGCACCACUGACAGAAAGCAAAGAAAAUUAAGUCUGUAGCAGACCCAACGCCAUUCAGAAAUGUUUGGGUUGCUCAUCACUAUUCUUUUGCUUCAGGCUCUUUAGGACUGGUUUAACACUGAGUCUUCAUGUUGUGAAAUGCUGAAGUAAGCAGACCUGUUUCUGUAAUGUGCUUAAUAUAAAGGAACCUGUUCCUGAUUAGAUCCUUGAGUGAUGGUGGAGUGCUUGGUUCCUACCUGGAAGCUCAUAUAUGAAGGGAAGUAUUUCCAUCCAUUUAGUUUCUCUGUCUCUGUGUUUGGGAGCUGCUAUUUGGGUUCCCUGGGAAUUUCAGGUGCUGUCACACUGAGCUGAAAUUCAUACCCGGAGUGCUUACCUCCUGCAAUCAGAUGUGUGCAGUCUGCAUUUCCUUCUGCCUCUCCAGCAGUAACAGCCAGUAACAGAAAGCCAGUCGCUGUACUCAGCAUUGCUGGUACAGCACACAAAUUCCGGGUUCAGACUGAAAUCUCAUCAUAGCAUAAAUCCAUUUCCAUGAGCUGUUGCAGUACAAUUCCGCCCGCUGGUAGAUCAUUGCCUGCAGAGGGCAGCAUGACCUAAUGUUUUACUCCAGUGCUCAAGUGGAGAAUUCACUCCUCUGCUGGCAUCUCUGUCCCUCAGCAUCGCUUGCCAUGGAAUAAACAACUGAAUAUUGUGGAGAAUCA
rnacentral:lncRNA from 1 species